rnacentral:lncRNA from 1 species
AAUAAGGGUGGUAGCGGAAAAGGGGACGGCGGUGGAAACUUCAUAGAAUUUCUUGAUGAUGAAAACAUGACAUAUGGUGGAAAAGCGGACAGUAGUGAAAAGAUUAGAGGGGCGCUGUCAAGCAUGGUGAAAGACUCCACGAAAAACUAAAAGCUUUUACUGUUAUGAUGUAUUUGUGCCAAAGCAUAUAUGAAAAAAAAUAAAUUAAAAUUAAAAUAAUUGUACAAUUUCAAAUAGUUGUCUUCUUUAGAUAUUAACUAAAAAAAUGGUUUUUCCUUUAUAAGUUGAGAAAAAAAUUUAUAAUUUGGAAUGGUGAAAUAUAUCGUCUAGAUAAAU